GAUGAACGCUAGCGGGAGGCCUAAUACAUGCAAGUCGAACGGGUGAAUUAGCUUCGGUUGGUUCACUAGUGGCGCACGGGUGAGUAACGCGUACGCAAUCUGCCCUAUGCUGGGGGAAUAGCCCUGGGAAACUGGGAGUAAUACGCCAUAGAUCUGUGGAUUCGCAUGGAUUUACAGAUAAAGCUGCGGCGGCAUAGGAUGAGCGUGCGUCUGAUUAGGUAGUUGGUGAGGUAACGGCUCACCAAGCCGACGAUCAGUAAGGGGCGUGAGAGCGUGGCCCCUCACACGGGUACUGAGACACGGACCCGACUCCUACGGGAGGCAGCAGUAAGGAAUAUUGGACAAUGGCGCAAGCCUGAUCCAGCCACUCCCGCCGUGCUUGAUG
rnacentral:rRNA from 1 species